AACGCGAAGAACCUUACCUGGGUUUGACAUCCUCUGACCGCCUAUGAAAGUAGGUUUCCCCGCAAGGGGCAGAGAGACAGGUGCUGCAUGGCUGUCGUCAGCUCGUGUCGUGAGAUGUUGGGUUAAGUCCCGCAACGAGCGCAACCCUUAUCUUUAGUUGCCAUCGGGUCAAGCUGGGCACUCUAGAGAGACCGCCGGUGACAAACCGGAGGAAGGUGGGGAUGACGUCAAGUCCUCAUGGCCUUUAUAUCCAGGGCUACACACGUGCUACAAUGGCGUAUACAAAGGGUCGCGAACCCGCGAGGGGGAGCUAAUCCCAAAAAGUACGCCCCAGUUCAGAUUGGAGUCUGCAACUCGACUCCAUGAAGCCGGAAUUGCUAGUAAUCGCGGAUCAGAACGCCGCGGUGAAUACGUUCCCGGGCCUUGUA
rnacentral:rRNA from 1 species